GGUAAGGUGGCCGAAGCAGGUGCCGAGUUGUAGCCUCGGUUAUAAAGGUCAACCCCUUUCCUUAUCA
rnacentral:tRNA from 1 species